GGUUUCUGGUCGAAUCGAUCCUGAUUUGUGAGUUCUUACAAUGAGUUCUUAUAGGGAUAUUAGGGUUAUUUGUUUUGGUAGAAAAUAUUUUGCAGCUUUUACGAUUGCAUAGUUAUAUCAAAGUUUUGAUGCCAUAUUUCUUGGAAUUCUGUUGUGGUGUAUGUGUUGUUGAGCAAGACAAAGAUUUUAGGUGUUUUUCUCCUUACUUCUUCGCUGGUUUGAAACUUUUUUGUUGAAUUAAAUUUUAUUUAUUAUAAUUACAAAUUAUGAGGGAAAAUUUUGUUCUUUCCAUAUAAACGAUUUGAUCUUUAUCCAUUAUUUUUCGGUAAAAACUGUUUUUCUUUUAUUUGGAAGAAAAUAAUAUGCCAUAUUUAAAUAUGGAAUUCUGUUGUGGUGAAUUGUUUAUUGGUGAUUGGGUGGUUUUUACUUUUUAUGUUGAUUAUGAUGACUGAGCAAUACAAAGAUUUUCUGUGUUUUUCUCAUAUGGUUGUUCUUUGCUGGUUUGGAACUUUUUGUUGAAUUAAAUAUAUAUAUAUAUUUUUCUUCAUAUAAAAUGGUUUGAUCUUUAAAAUUUUCAAGGUAUAAUUAUCCAUACAAUUAGGGAUUCAUUGGGAUUCUCAAAUUGGGAAGAUAGUUAUUUUUGAUGGUUCUUUGCUGGUUUGGAAUUUUUGUUGAAUUAAAUAUAUGUUUUUUUUUUUUUUUCUUCAUAUAAAAUGGUUUGAUCUUUAAAAUUUUCAAGGUAUAAUUAUCCAUACAAUUAGGGAUUCAUUGGGAUUUUCAAAUUGGGAAGGUAGUUAUUUUGGAUGAUCUCAAAUUGGGAAGAUAGUUAGGGAUUUAUUGGGAUUCUUAAAUUGGGAGGAUAGUUAUUUUUGAAGAUAGUUGAGCACACACACAGACACAUACAACAACAACACACACAAAAUACAAUGCAUGCAAAUACCUAGGAGGCACACUAUUUUUAUCAAAUGAUUAUGUCUUUAAUCUUACACCAAGUCACCUUUUUUAAAUCCUUCGUUCCUAGGUUUUCGUAGGUUGUGCGUUACUGAUUAAAUUACCUAUACUUAUCUACAAAUAAGUUGACUGGACGAAAGUCCAUCAGUCUAUGUAUUCGGAAAUAAUCAAUAAAAGCACAAUAUUAACACCCAAUUUGAUAUCAAACAUCUAAUCCUUGUUGCUGGCAUCAAACCCUUUAUACUUCUUACUGUUUCCAUCCAUCUUCUCCCUACACCGCCCACCAAAUCCACAAAAAUUAAAAGAGUUUUCUGAAGUUGCGAUAGAAUUUCAGAGCUGAUAUUCAUCUUAGAUUCUUGAGAGUUGAUGAGUAUGACGGUCCUCAGGUUGGUAAUUGGUUGUGUAGCCAUACCACUGUGUAGGCGACGUCAGUAGAUCUCUGUGGAGGACUAUGUACUUGAAGAUGUGAUCAUGUGGUUGAUUUCUCUGUCUAGGACUAUGUACUUGAAGAUGUGGUUGAUUUCUCUGUUGAGGACUAUGUACUUGAAGGUGGUUGAUUUCUUCUUGAGCACGGUAUUGUGAGGACAGUCGCAAGAUCACUGUGGUAGGCUGUUUGUCUUCUUCAGUUCUCUAGUGUGCUUUUCAUUUUUUAUUUACCCUUUCUUCAAAUUAGGUAUGAAAACAAUCACCUGUUAAAAUAUUGUUCCAUGUCAUGUGCACCAUUACAUGGUAUUCUUGGUACUCAAUCCCUAGUAUUUGCAAACUAAAAAGACUAGAAUGAUUGGAUCUUUGGAAGCUCCCCAAACAAAAUGGAAGAAACAUUAUAUGUAAGAUUUUGCAAAGUACAAGUAGGCUACCAAUUCCACUGCACUCAAUCCGGCGAGAAGCCAAUAGAAGUAAUCAAGACGUGCUCGAUUCAAGUUAUCUGAAAACCAACCAUCUUGACCAUAUCCACUGGUAGCUUUCUGGAUGACAGAGAUAAGAAAGCUGCUCAGGAAGCUCCCUAUGCCAAUGACUCUAAAGUAGAGAGCAAGACCAACACUCCUCAAAUCAUUCGGUACCUGAUCAUAGAAAAAUUCUUGCAGACCAACCCCAAUUCCAAACAACGGAUAUUGAGAUGUGCUCGAUUCAAGUUAUCUGAAAACCAACCAUCUUGACCAUUUCUACAGUUAGCUUUUGGAUGACAGAGAUUAGAAAGCUGCUCAGGAAGCUCCCUAUGCCGAUGACUCUAAAGUAGAGAGCAAGACCAACACUCAAAUCAUUCGGCACCUGAUCAUAGAAAAAUUCUUGCAGACCAACCCCAAUUCCAAACAACGAAUAUUAGGGUGCCAACCACCUGGUAACUGCAGGAAACAACCAGAAAAUGCGAUUUUAAUAGACAAGGGCAAUAAAAAAGUAUAAACACCAAUCAUGAAUUGUCAACAUUGAUUCUGUUUCUUCAAAUAAGCAAGAAUUCCAUCCGCAUCCCGAGAUCCUUUGUGAUUUAGAAUCCUCUUCCCUCCAUUUCGCAAGAUCUUAAUUUGGAUUAAAUUACCAAUUAUUCUCUGCAAGAAAGUUGACUGUAUUAACUCCAUUUCUUAAAAUUUGUUUCAAGAAUAGUACAUGGAACAUAUUUCGACCUUGUUUUCUAUUUUUCAUAACUCCUAGAAUAAUAAACUAUUUUAAAAGCUGCAGCAAAUAGGCGCAUCUAAAGUCAGCUAUUGAAUUUAACUCCAUGACUAACAUCACAGUAACUUUUCCUUCACCUAGUCUUCUACUUCUAGUUAUUUGGUGUAAGUUUGUCUCCAAAGAGAGACAUCAAGAACAUUGGCUAUAUGAGAAAAACUUCCUAAUUCUGUAAAUUUAUGAACGUAUGUUUAUCAAAUAUUUUUCAUUGAUGGACUCCCCCCCGGCCCCCAUCCUCCUCCCACAAAACACACAUGCACGCAGUUGCUUGCAGGCACGCACAAAGUACAAUGCACAAAAAUACAUUGGAGGCACUCAAAUCCCAUCAUUGAUUAAUUGUCUUUAAUCUUACAUCAAGUCAGUAUGAAGAACUUAACUCCUCAAUAAUUGUCUUUUUGGCAUCACUUCUUUUUUCAUUGGUCUUUUUAGGCUCUGAACUAAAAUCCUUCAUUGUUACCUCUUGUACUCCUGAUUCUGUUGAAGUUGUCAUAUUUCACUUCACUUCUUCUGAGAUCAAGUUGGUGUUCCCUAAAUUAACCUGCCACUGUAAUUAAUGAAAUAUGAUUUUUAUCGAUGAUUUCAUUAAAUUUUUAUCCCGUUCGAGUGCUGAAGUGUCUUUUUUCCUAUUUGGUUAUCAUUACAGUUUUCAUUUAUUUAAUUAAGUCGAUUUUAGGAACUUCAUGCAACAAUGUUGUGUAUUUGAUAGCAAUUCUUAAUUUCUGAUGAACUUUGAUAAGCUUGAGGACAUAAUUACUGUUUGGUUUUAAAUAUAGUUAUUGCUGAAUCAUUUGAUUACUCUAUAUCAGGAGUGUCUCUUCAGCUAGACAUGAAGACAUUUCUGAGUUACAAAAUCUAUGGAUUUUCUGCUUUGUAGGUUUUCAUUCGAAGUCCUUGCUGUGGUACAGAACUUAGGAAUGGUUGUGCUUUGAAGGGUUUCUUGCAAAUUCUUUCUUUCUUUCUUUCUAUUUUUUUCCCUUCACUUACACUUCUCUUUCAUAAGGGCAUCUUAUGUUUUGUAUUAUCUUCCUUACCAAUAAUUUUUAUAUUUGUUACUAACAAAUUUAGGUGAACUUGAUUUUGGAUGGGCAUAUGGUCAUUGCAUUGUUGAACAAAACCUCCUUUUUGUUUUGUGGUUUCUUGGUCGUGGACUUGUUGCUUGUGCGUUGCCUUGUAUUGUUUGCAAGAAUGGAGCAUAUUAGUAUAAUUUUUCCCCCUCAUUUGUGGAAUUUCUUGACUUUCUACUUCUGGGUGGUUUGCAGUCCUCCAGACGGUGAUACACUAUUUUGAGAGCUACUUAAGUUUUACAAAAUUUGAGGGUUCAAACUCAGGAAUCAGUUCCUGUAUAAUAGCAGUGAUGUGAUUUUAUGUAGGAUCUCAUUAAGGACUUCAGUAAAUGACAAAGCGCAGUUGGGUCCUUGUGGCAGGGCAGCAUUUGAUUAGUCUUGGAAUGCAGUGCUGCUCCUUCGAUGAGACUGAUUGGACAUCAGUUGAUUCUUUCUGAUACGUAGAGUUCCCUCUGCUUUUGAUUGGUGAGAUGCAGGAGCAACCUGUUGCAGCAACUGUUUACUUGUUACCUCUGGCUUAAAUUUGUGCUAUUUUGGGAAAAACUUUGUUGAGUUGGGCAGUGUGAGUUUUUUUUUUUUUGUUUGUCUCAAUCAGAUCAGCUUUUUCGUCGUCCGUGUUUUGAGAUUCUCUUAUAUUGCAUUUCAUUUUCAGCUUUAUGUUCAUUUGUGGUUUUACGUUACUGCAGAAGCAUAUAUAUAAUGAAUCGUUUCUAAUUUGGUACUUUCUUUUCUGUCUUUGUGCUUCUGUUAGAUUGUAACGAUACAGGAUGUAGGAACACAUCAGAGAGGUUUAGUUUUUGACUCCUCCUCCACCUACAAGCUAUAUGUUCUUUCCUUUCCAUCUUCUUUCUAAACAAAAUUAUUCAGUGUUGAUGGAUGUAUGCAAAACCUUGGUAUCUUGUGUUUUUAUAUUACCUACCAUACACUUCACUUCCAUUUCUUUUUUCUUUUUUUUUGUAUUAUCUUCCUUGCCGAUGAUUUUUGUAUCUGCUACUAGCAAAUUUAGGGUAUCAUAUAUUUACGUUUUAGCAUGUGUGAAUGAGUUUCUUUUGCUGGUUGCUUGUUUGCAGUCACUUGAAGAUGGACUUCGUGAAAGUUAAAGAACCUUUUGCGUGGCUGGACUUCUUACUUUUUAUUGGACUGUACAUCUGUGAUUAGUUGAAAACAGGAGAGAGUAUCUAGUUCUCUGUUUUUAUUUUUAUUUCUUGGAUUUUGCGGGACCUCUUUUUUUGGUGUUUACAGACACUUGUUAUUUUGCUUGUAUGUAGUUGAUUUUGAGAGCAGUCUUUUGGAAGGGCUAAAGAGGAGAACCUUUACCUGGUUAGACUGCAGGAAAUGAUCAAUGUUUCUGUAAGUUUGUAUUCGGAUAUUUAGUCAUUGGCAUAUCUUACCCAAAACCUGAGUUGUAAUGUAUCAAAGUGCCUUGAGCUGUUUAUGGACAUUUUUUGAAGACAUGGCAGACAAAAAAUGAGAUGAUCAUGUGGAAUAUUUGCAUCCUCAAUUGCACAAAUAGGUAUCAGGUAAAUGGACUUUAGUAAAUACCUUAGUUUGACCUUGAUUUUGGAAAUUAUUCUUUGAUCGAUCCAGAGAGCUUUGAUAGAAUGAUCAACCGAUUGAAUUGGUUUCAGGUAACAUUUAGUUCAAAGUCAGAAUGUAUCGAUUGCAUGGUCGAUAGAUUGAAUUCUGUGUAGAGUUCCAGUGGUCUUAGAUCAACCGAACUUGUUGGACCUAUGUAUUCGGUACCUAUAUGAUAGUAGUGGUGUGUUUUUUUGUUGGAUUUCAAUGAAGAUCAGUAUGGUUUGGGAAAUUUCAAAGUGCAGUUGGGACCUUGUGGCCAACAUUCGAUUGUUCUUGGUUUGUACUAAUUUAUGUUUUGACAGUUGUGUAACUGUAUAUUUGGUAUUAUUUCACCAUCUUCUUAAUUUUUA